GAUGAACGCUGGCGGCGUGCUUAACACAUGCAAGUCGAACGAAGCACUUUAUUUGAUUUCCUUCGGGACUGAUUAUUUUGUGACUGAGUGGCGGACGGGUGAGUAACUCGUGGGUAACCUGCCUUGUACAGGGGGAUAACAGUUGGAAACGGCUGCUAAUACCGCAUAAGCGCACGGCAUCGCAUGAUGCAGUGUGAAAAACUCCGGUGGUAUAAGAUGGACCCGCGUUGGAUUAGCUAGUUGGUGAGGUAACGGCCCACCAAGGCGACGAUCCAUAGCCGACCUGAGAGGGUGACCGGACACACUGGGACUGAGAAACGGCCCAAACUCCUACGGGAGGCAGCAGUGGGGAAUAUUGCACAAUGGGCGAAAGCCUGAUGCAGCGACGCCGCGUGAGCGAAGAAGUAGUUAGGUAUGUAAAGCUCUAUCAGCAGGGAAGAUAAUGACGGUACCUGAAUAAGAAGCACCGGCUAAAUACGUG
rnacentral:rRNA from 1 species